rnacentral:rRNA from 1 species
AUUGAACGCUGGCGGCAGGCCUAACACAUGCAAGUCGAACGGUAACAGGAAGAAGCUUGCUUCUUUGCUGACGAGUGGCGGACGGGUGAGUAAUGUCUGGGAAACUGCCUGAUGGAGGGGGAUAACUACUGGAAACGGUAGCUAAUACCGCAUAACGUCGCAAGACCAAAAAGGGGGACCUUCGGGCCUCUUGCCAUCGGAUGUGCCCAGAUGGGAUUAGCUAGUAGGUGGGGUAACGGCUCACCUAGGCGACGAUCCCUAGCUGGUCUGAGAGGAUGACCAGCCACACUGGAACUGAGACACGGUCCAGACUCCUACGGGAGGCAGCAGUGGGGAAUAUUGCACAAUGGGCGCAAGCCUGAUGCAGCCAUGCCGCGUGUAUGAAGAAGGCCUUCGGGUUGUAAAGUACUUUCAGCGGGGAGGAAGGGAGUAAAGUUAAUACCUUUGCUCAUUGACGUUACCCGCAGAAGAAGCACCGGCUAACUCCGUGCCAGCAGCCGCGGUAAUACGGAGGGUGCAAGCGUUAAUCGGAAUUACUGGGCGUAAAGCGCACGCAGGCGGUUUGUUAAGUCAGAUGUGAAAUCCCCGGGCUCAACCUGGGAAC